rnacentral:rRNA from 1 species
GACGAACGCUGGCGGCGUGCCUAAUACAUGCAAGUCGAACGAACCGCGACUGAGUGCUUGCACUUGGUCAAGGUGAGUGGCGAACGGGUGAGUAACACGUGGGCAACCUACCUCAUAGUGGGGGAUAACAGUCGGAAACGACUGCUAAUACCGCAUAGGACAUGGAAUCACAUGAUUCUGUGAGGAAAGGUGGCGCAAGCUAUCGCUAAGAGAUGGACCCGCGGUGCAUUAGCUAGUUGGUAGGGUAAGGGCCUACCAAGGCGAUGAUGCAUAGCCGACCUGAGAGGGUGAUCGGCCACAUUGGGACUGAGACACGGCCCAAACUCCUACGGGAGGCAGCAGUAGGGAAUCUUCCGCAAUGGACGCAAGUCUGACGGAGCAACGCCGCGUGAGUGAAGAAGGUCUUCGGAUCGUAAAGCUCUGUUGUUAGAGAAGAACAGCGCAUAGAGUAACUGUUAUGCGUGUGACGGUAUCUAACCAGAAAGCCACGGCUAACUACGUG